rnacentral:rRNA from 1 species
AGAUUGAACGCUGGCGGCAUGCCUAACACAUGCAAGUCGAACGGGAGUAGCAAUACUCUAGUGGCGGACGGGUGAGGAAUACGUAGGAAUUUGCCCUUAAGUGGGGGAUAACCCGGGGAACCCGGAUUAAUACCGCAUGACCUCGAAAGAGCAAAGUGGGGGAUCGCAAGACCUCACGCUUUUGGAGAAGCCUACGUCGGAUUAGCUAGUUGGUGAGGUAAUGGCUCACCAAGGCGACGAUCCGUAACUGGUCUGAGAGGAUGAUCAGUCACACCGGACUGAGACACGGUCCGACUCCGUACGGGAGCAGCAGGUGGGGAAUACGUUGGAAC